rnacentral:sRNA from 1 species
UUGACGGCUCUGGACACUGGUUAUUCACACAGCUGGUAUAGCGCAGGCAGUGAUUGGUUGGGGCAGUGUUGGGGAGAAAGUUAUCCAAUGUGCCUCAGUCCUGCCCCAAGGGUAAGAAGGGAGUUCAGUCUCCAGGGCCCAUUCAAUCAGACAUAAUG